rnacentral:rRNA from 1 species
UACGUAGGGCGCAAGCGUUGUCCGGAAUUAUUGGGCGUAAAGAGCUCGUAGGCGGCCUGUUACGUCUGCUGUGAAAUCCCGGGGCUUAACCCCGGGCGUGCAGUGGAUACGGGCAGGCUGGAGGCAGACAGGGGAGAACGGAAUUCCCGGUGUAGCGGUGAAAUGCGCAGAUAUCGGGAGGAACACCGGUGGCGAAGGCGGUUCUCUGGGCCUGUACUGACGCUGAGGAGCGAAAGCGUGGGGAGCGAACAGG